GUAGGUUUUUCUGACAAAAAUAACCCCUUUUUCUUUGUUUUUUAAUGCCAAUCAAUGUAGUGACAGGCAUAGAAAAUAAUGACACGCAAAUAACCAAUCUCUUCGUCGAUGCUUUUCUUUGAUUUUGGGGAUCAUGAAAAGACCUUGUUAUGAAUUGCAGUUUGUUUCAUAACCAACUUCAGACUCCUCACUACAGCUGUAACAUGCUUAUUUCAAUGUAAAACAGUCCCAAGCUGUUACUUUCAUUACAAAGCAAGAGGUCACUUGUUCCUUACAACACAAAAGCAAUGAUCACCAGCUCUCAAGUGUGGUAGAUGUACUGCGGUACGUAUUCUUGCACUCGAAGAGGGUAUUAGUUAUAUAAGAGGCAUAUAACGCACUUUAGAGCUGUUGACACUUAAAACACUUGUGAAUGCAAAUGAAAGAGUGUUUAAAACUCAAUACAUAGCAGAUAUUUUCCUACAUUUUUGUUUUACAUCUCUGAGUGCGAUGAGUUGGCUCCCAGAGCUUCCGUGUAAAUGAGGGUGAUUUAUGCUCCUGCACCGAGUGGAGUGUGAUUGUAAAUUGAAGCAGUGUCAGUGAUUACAGCGUUUGCAAAACACAUUUGAUGUCCCUGCAAAUAUUUCCUGAUGAAAAUUAGUACACGCUGUCAUCUGGAGAAUUUUCAUGACUUAUUGAACAGCUCAGUGAAAGAAUCAUCUGGUGCAAUGGUUGGUUUGGGCUGUGGGUUUGUGCAGGUGGAAAAAGAUAAUUGAGGAAGUUUUUUCCAUUUGGGGGAUCCGGUCAAGCUCCAGAAUUCCUCGUUGUUUGCCUACAUGCAUGAUGGAUGAUAGUCAAAUAUUGGUGCAAAGAGAGGAGUGUACAGAAAGCUCCUGCUGCGCGAUGCCAACUCCCACAUUGUACAUACGCAAAAUGAAUCCCUGAUGUAAAGUAAUGUUUGCGAAGCAAUCCAAGAGGAAAACUGUUUCCACCAUUUUGGUUUAUUUUGUAUUCUCAUAAAGCCUGUGCCAAAAUGACAUUUUACUGAUGCACAAACUAUGAUGUGGAGCAAUGUAUUUAGUCAUGCAGAAUAAUGUCUGUUAAUGUGUGAGAUUUUCAUGUUACUUAAUAAUCCCACAUCAUUAUGAAACAUCCUCACAUGAAGCUAUCACUGAGUGUUUCACACAUGAUCCAAGAGAAACGUAAGAGUGUGUGCUGUAGGUUAACUUUCUACUCUGCACUGUGUGCAAAGGAAAAAAUAACCUCAAUACUUUCAUGCAUGAACCCACUCAUUCACCCACAGUGUACACCUCCUUUGUUACUACUCUGAGUACUUAUUGAGCACUAAACCAGCUUGAUCAAAGAGGACUAAUUACACCCAUUAGAGAGGGAUGACUCCACUGAGUGGGUACUCCACAUACAAAUAAGACUCUGUAUGAAAGGUUACAGGUUCAAUGUGUGUGUUUGUGUGUAUGUGUAUGUGUCUGCGUGGGUGUGUGGUUACAGUGUGAACAGCAUUACCUGGUAGCUGCAUGUGACGCAGGUGCCCCAGGUGCAACAGUGUUAGUCAUUGUCACCUUGUCUUCAGGGGAGGAUGAUGGACGUCGGAGGGUCAGCCACCAAUUAUCCUCUUUGCGCUGAUGAGAGAGGACGGACCUCCUCCUCAGUCACCUCCAUUUACUCCCUCCCUUUUUCUUCCCUCUCUGUUAUUCACCAUGCGUUUCUGUAUCUCCCUGAAUGUUUAUCUGUUUGAGGAAAUUGGCCAUAAUAACUUUUUAUGCAGGCAGCAGAUUUCGUUGGCCGUAAUUACAUGAAAUGUAUUCAUUCAUGUAACAUGUGACGAGGUACAGAAUGUAUAGACAGCUCAUUAGAGCGGUCAUUCUCAAAGCUAGGAAUGCUUAAGUCUGAACUGCACUAAGCUUAUAAAUACCUUUAUACAUCCCUGACACCACAGAUUAUGAUAUUGGAGUGACAGUGGGAUUGAAACACAGCCGAUGACAUGUUACAAAGUUCACAUGCCAUAUGCCAGUGGCAAGUGGCAUUUGCUAGUACAAACAACAUGCAUGCUGUCCAAGCCCCCCAGUUGUAUGCUAUAACACAUUUUUGUCCAAAAGCAUUGGAAGAAACAUUUAAGUGAAGUACAUAUUAAAUGAAAGGUGUUGUGAGCAGAUUUUAAGAAAUAGAGGGAAGUUGAUAUUGAUGUCUUUUUAUGAUAUAGAAAAGUAAAAAAGAGCUUCAAGGACAAGAGUUAUGAUUCAUACGUUGAAAUCUUUGAUAUCUGAAACAGUGUGAGAAGUGAGAAAACAAUCCUGUUCUUAGAGUUUCACACAAAGUAUUCACAAUGAAUGACGCGCUUGACUUUAUAAAGUCUGCACUGUGAUAUUUCUGUAAGAAGACACUAGGCAUGCAGAGAACAAGAUAGGAGAGACUGCUUUGUCCACAGAGAGGUGCCAAAAGGUUCCUCACAGAAGUUUUACACAGAAAAACACACAAAUGUUCAGAACCUCUGGGGCCCACGGGGGUGCAAAUUCAAGGAACCUGAACAUUAGAGAAAAGUCUGCUUUAUGUCUGUCCCACGUUAGCUGUUGCUUCAAAGUGGAAAUGAUCUUUGUUUUCUGUUAUAACAGCAGACUUAGACUGACGAGUUUCUACUUCUAUUAUGACCUUGAAAUGAAUCUUCAUUUCAUCUUUGCAUGUGUUUUCUGUUGCUAUGUUUCACUGUUUGAUUCAAUCUAAAACUACUUCUUGGAGGGAGCAGGGGGUGCUUGUUUGUGAAUGGAGUCUCUCAUUUAUUAUUAUUACAGCAGUUUGAAGCAGCUGCUCUCAGACACCAUAAACUGCCUGUUACAUGAUGCUGAACUCAAAUUGUUAUUCAAGGACAGAUAAAAAAUAAGUUGUUAAUGGGCUGUUACACACUUGAUAACUUCAAUGAGUGGCUUGUUCUGUGACACUCGCUUGUUCAAACACAAUAGCAGUGCAUAUGGGUUUAAACAUGUGAGUGUACCAUAGACUGUAUAUAGAAUAUAUAGUGUACAUUUAGGGUGUGUACGUACACAUGUACAAUCCCAGGCGUACACACUCACCUAAAGAAUUUACAGUCUGCCAUCUGUAAAAGAGCAAAAAAAAAAGAGGUCAUUAUUCAGUCUCAUCACUUGCAUAACACUUGUGUAAAGAGCCUGUGAAAUGGGCACAUGAUGUAUUAGUCAUAGAACACUGUAGAGUCCGUAAAUGGAAAUGAGGUGUAAAAGGCAAAGGUGAAGAUUAAAAGGUACAAAGAGCGGAAGCUGCACCAUUACCCUCUUAUUUUAUAUCUGCCAAACUUUAUUAGCGUCAUUUAUGUUGGCUGUUCAGAUUGCCCAACCCCAACCCCAACCCCAGAGAUAACAUAUUGUUCCCCUCUCUACAGUAAUCCAAGAGAAUCUUCCUACACUGAUUCCCCAUCUGAACCACAUGGAGGGUGACUUUUAGCAAAAAGUUUAACAGGAUUAAAAACAGAUUUUCCUAAAGCGCAUGAUUAAAUGCAGCCACAGGCAAACAUGUUGAUAGGGGUUUUUUAAAAUCUAAUUACAUGCCUGUUUGGAAGUCUGACUCCCAAAGUGAAUGAGUAUGUGCCUGCUCUACAUGAGGACGUAGACACAGAUGAAGGCCCCAAAGCCAUCUAAUUUAGGAUGUUCUUCCUUCUUUUUGAUUCACACCAAAUUAAUGAUUAUUUUUGCAGUUCUUACCUAAACUGUAUAAUAAAUACUGCAUUUGAGCCUUUGUUUUGAACAAAUUGGUUGCAUAAGGUUCAAUAAAUACUCUUGUAAUUGUUGUUUGUAGUCUUUUUUCUAAUUGUAAAAGACGUCAAUCUGUUCCAAUGUAAUGUAAAAGAAAGGCAAUUCACAGAAUACAUCUACUUAUGAACCUGUGCAAUUUUUGUCAUUCAGUGUCUGUGGAGGGUGGACAGAUUGGUGGUGAAUGAGUGUUGUCGUCAUAAAAUGAUUUCUGCCUCAUCUUCAGUCGCUGCAGCCUACGCUCCAGAUAUGGAUGUUUACUUUGCUUCAGAUAGCUCGGCAGAGUGGUAUACAGCUUUCAAUAUAUCAAUAGCACAGCAAGUCAUAGUCCAUACUCAAGAGGUGAUGCCCUGUAGCUGAGUAGAGGAAGGUAUAGAGCCAAGUGGCUUUCAUCAGCCUUUUUCAGCAGUUGCUUAAGGAUGCGGAUGCCUCUCUCAGCUUUACCAUUUGACUGUACAUAGGGUGGACCAGAUGUCACAUGGGUGGCAAUUGAUCUUUUGUGCAAACAGCCUCCACUCUCAGCUGUUGAAGCUUGGUCCAUUGUCACACUGUUAGGUGUCUGGAGUGUCUGGCAAAGAUUGAUUUUUCCAGUGCUGUGACACAGGCUGAUGAUGUGUUUGAUAGUGAUGCCAUUUCUGGGAAGUUUGAAUUGUAAUCAAAGACCACCGUGUAGACUUUAUCUUGGAGGUGAAUGGAGUCUAUUCCAAUACAAUAGUGAGCUCUUUGGUUUUACUUGUCCUUGGGCUUCUAGCAUGUGUCACGUGUGCUUCUCAGGCUCCGUUAAUGCGAUACGAGGAAACUGUGUCUCCUGCCCUUCUAUUACAUUUCUCAACAUCAUAAUGACCUUCACAGUUUCUCUGUCUCAAUUUAUGAGGAAAAUAAUUCAGCUUGACUUCAGCAGCAGUCCAUCAAUAAUACCCAGAUUAUUUCUGAUGCGAUAAAACAGCAAACAGGAAACUACAGGCCAUCCAUUGCUCAAGUUUCUAAUGACAAGUUGAAAGUCUGUGUCUUUGGCUCUUUGUCUGGACUUUGCAUCAACUACAAGAAGCACAACAGCACUGUUUUCACAAGGCUCUGAGCAUCCUCAUCGUUUGUUCUCACACAUCCACUUGUAGUAGUGUGCCCGAGCAAGUAUCAGAUGCUUUCCUGUGAAGGUCAGCUCAAAGUCAUACCUGCAUAUUUCCAUUACAUGCAGAUAUGAUGAUACAAUCCAAAUACUUGAAUAUAUUACAAUACAAGAACUUUAUUGAUCCUCAAAAGCAAAUUCAUAUAUCUGGAAUCUCAUCCCAGCUACUAUUUAUUGAAGAAUUAAUAAUUCUGUCUUUUCAUUCAGGUUCUUUUUGAUAUAGUGGCAACAAGUGGGCAAUGAUUUUCUGUACAAUGAAAGAGGGCUCUGAAACCUUUAAAAUCCAAACACAGAGACUGUAUAAGCUAUGGACAACUUGUUUCCACCUUCCGACAUUAUAUGAAUUUGAAGCCAAAUUGCUCUUGGUAUUUCUGGGAUUUUCUCCACUCCCUGGAACUAGCAUUGUACGCAUUUGGCGGGAGAGUCGCUUUGAUGACGCUCGGCUCAAACAGCGUAUCCCCCGGGUGAGCUACCCAAUCUUCGUGCGCCCAUAGGCUGUAUCAAGUGUCAAUCAUAGGAAACAUGAACUCUUGAAUAACUUUUAAAAAUGGAGCUGCACAGAAAAAAAGAGGACUUCAGCACAAACCAGUCUUACAGUAACUACAUGUCAACAUUGCAAACCAGGGUGGAAAAAACUUUAUAUUCUGUGUAAUGAAUUUCUAAAGUUUGUCCACAGUUCCAUAGAGAUUGCUGGAGGAGGCGGGAUUUAUGAUCUAUACUGCAGCCCAUCAACAGAGGGUGCUGUUCUUGCAGUGGCUUCACCCAACGAGGAGGCAGACUGUGUCCAUUCUUUAUACAGUCUAUGUACAAACACCAACCGGGCUUUUUCUUUUUUCUUUUUUUGUUCUCAUUUGAUGCUCUCAUCUG
rnacentral:lncRNA from 1 species